rnacentral:rRNA from 1 species
GACGAACGCUGGCGGCGUGCUUAACACAUGCAAGUCGAACGGUGAAGCGCUUGCCUUUUUGGUGGGUGUGGAUGAGUGGCGAACGGGUGAGUAACACGUGAGUAACCUGCCCUCUUCUUCUGGAUAACCUCAUGAAAGUGGGGCUAAUACGGGGUAUUCCGGGUCUGUCGCAUGGCGGGUUUGGGAAAGAUUGCGCCUUUGGGUGUUUUCGGUGGGGGAUGGGCUCGCGGCCUAUCAGCUUGUUGGUGGGGUGAUGGCCUACCAAGGCGGCGACGGGUAGCCGGCCUGAGAGGGUGGACGGCCACACUGGGACUGAGACACGGCCCAGACUCCUGCGGGAGGCAGCAGUGGGGAAUAUUGCACAAUGGGCGCAAGCCUGAUGCAGCGACGCCGCGUGAGGGAUGGAGGCCUUCGGGUUGUGAACCUCUUUCGCCAGUGAAGCAGGCCUGCUCCUGUGUGGGUGGGUUGACGGUAGCUGGAGAAGAAGCGCCGGCUAACUACGUG